ACCUAGCUGGCUCAGUCGGUGGAGUAUGCGACUCUUGAUCUCACGAUCAUGAGUUCGAGCCCCAUGUUGGGUA
rnacentral:tRNA from 1 species